UUGCUGCGCUACGUGCGGGAAAAAAUUUUUUGUCCCUCUUUUUACUUCCAAAAUGUUGGGAGGUAUGACAUUAUACUUUAAAUGUGAGUGUACACUAUUGAAUUAUAUUAAUAAAAAUCCUAUCAAUUGAGCAUUUGUCUUGCUGUUCAACUGACCUCCCAGCCAGCAGCACCAGUCUCCAUUCGAUCAACUGCAGUCUGCAGUGUGAGGAGGUGAUAAUAGGAACGUGUGAGUGGAACACCAGGACGCUGAUAAGAUCAAGCCAGCAGCGCCAGUCUCCAUACGUUCGGCUGCAGCCCUCAGUGUGAGGACGCGAUAACAGGAGCGUGUGGGUGAGGGGAACACGAGGACUCUGACAAGACUAAAGACAAGCUUCGCUGUAAACGUUGGAGGGACGGGACCGUUAUCUACUUUAAAGCCAUUCUAACUACAUGCAAGCUUAACACCGGCGAUCCUGUGGAGCACGAAGGGGAUACUGUGUGUCAAACAGGAGAAUUAAUCACCACGUACCUGUCUUCCAUCUGCCUGUAUUUAAAGAUCUUUACGGAACUGUUUUUCAAAAAAGAAAUCGAUCUGUUGUGAGGAAAAGCACUUUGUUGGUGGGAGUUUAUUUAAUAUAGGAAGCGCAUACUGUUUUUAUUUUUAAGGAUAAAGGAGGUCUAGGUUUUCCAAAUUUUUCAUUGUAUUAUAAGGCAGCCCAAUUAACUCAUAUUAACAUUACAUACAAUCAUAGAUAGCCCCCAUUGGGUCCAGUUAGAAGCCCU